UUCACUUUGAGAGAAAUUGCAUUGUAUGACAUACUUCAGAACAAUGUGUUAAGAUUCAUUAGAACAACUUAGCGGUUAUGGACAAUCAUGAACUCUCUAAAACAACCAAAUACAAUACAGCCAAAACUGACACUCAUCGGGAUCCAGCACUGCUUCUAGAUGUUUGCCAUCUGAACACUGCAGCCCUCCAGAGACUUCUACUACUAUUAGUAAACUUGACUCCUUGUGUCAGCCAUAUAAUAAACCCUGCCUCCUUGAUACAACUGAA